CAGCCGCCGCGGUAAUACAGAGGGUGCGAGCGUUAAUCGGAUUUACUGGGCGUAAAGCGUGCGUAGGCGGCUUCUUAAGUCGGAUGUGAAAUCCCUGAGCUUAACUUAGGAAUUGCAUUCGAUACUGGGAAGCUAGAGUAUGGGAGAGGAUGGUAGAAUUCCAGGUGUAGCGGUGAAAUGCGUAGAGAUCUGGAGGAAUACCGAUGGCGAAGGCAGCCAUCUGGCCUAAUACUGACGCUGAGGUACGAAAGCAUGGGGAGCAAACAGGAUUAGAUACCCGCGUAGUCCCUGUCUCUAUACA
rnacentral:rRNA from 1 species